ACAGAACCAGCUGGUCCACCUUCCACCCACCCUUGUGCAGCACCAAACCAGCGCAGACCAGAGACCAGCCCCUCUGUCAGCUGAGUGUCACUGAGUGACCUCUGUCAAAGAGAUUGUCACCUUCAAGCAGAAACUUCUCCCUUUUCUUUCUGCCAGGACAGCUGGUAAUGUUCUGUGUGAAGCUGUUCCGUCACUCUGGGUCCCAGGAUGCAGAUGUCAUGUGGCAGAGCUGCAGCAGACCCUUCAAGGAUACACAGAAUGAGUGAGAAAUAAGUCUUCAUUUUUUUAAAGCCACUGAGAUUUGGGGAUCAUUUGUUACCGCAGCAUAAUCUGAUCUACCUGGAUUGACACAGACCAUUUCCUUACUUUAUGGAAUGGAGAAAAGACCUGACGUGAAAAAGCAAAAUUAUGUGAAAAGAAGUUCCUUGGGGUUGAGCAAUGUUGUCUUACCCAAGCACAAGGGAUGGUAGGAAAUUUUUGGUAAAUUCAACACCAUUGAAAUUAUACACUUCUUUCACCAAAAGUAACCACAAGAAAAUGAAAAGACAAGCCACAAACUAGAGGAAGAUAUAUGUAGUACAUAUAAGCAACAAAGAAUUACUCUCCAGAAUAUAUAAAGAAUUUCAGAAAUCUUUAAGGACAAGCAAUCUAACAGAAACAGGCAAAAGACCUCAAAGGCACUGCACAGGAAACACCCGAUUCCCUCCAGCACCAGCUCUGAAUCAUGACUUUGGAUUUUUCUCUCCUUACAGGCUGUGGGAACAGACUUCCAGAGAGCCCCACCUCCCGGUAUUCAUGCCCUGUGUAAUCCCCUCCCCGAGUGAGCUGAUCUAGUGGCUUGUUUCUAAUGCAUAGCAUAUGGCACAAGUGAUGGGAAUGACACUUCUGAGAUUAGGUUAAAAAAGACUGUGACUUCCAUCUUGCUGGCUUUGGUGAACCAAGCUGCCAAGGUGGAGAGGUCCAUGUGCCAAAGAACAUAAUAUUUUAAAGACUUAUUGUAAUUUAUCUGUAGUAGGAAAACUUCUGACAUCAGGACUCAUAGGCAAGCAGGAGGAAAAACCCCCAAACGCUUGUUUAAGCCACUUCCCCUCAAAACACCCUUCACACACCACACACACACGUGCAAGGGUCUCCUAGGCACCGAGGUGUCUACAUCAGCAUUUCCCUCGGGCUCCCUGACAUCUUCCUGUGGCCUGAGAGGACGUUUUCUAAUAAGCAUAUUGUCCCACUUCUUGGUUGAGAGCCUCUAUCAUUUUGAAAAAGAAAUUACAAUUUGGAGGUGGGAAUACAGGGGACAUCUUUUAAUGAACAAUAUACUAAAUAUUCCCCUGGAAUACCUGUAACUGAAAAAUAAUUAUAAGGAUAAACACAAUUUUUAAAGUGGCCAUAAUUGGAAAGUAGAAUUUCAGAAGCUACUCAUUUUCUUGCUUACUUACAUUGUCUAAUUCUUCUAUAAUGACCACACAUUGCUUUGCAUGUUUUUUAUAAAAAAGAACAUCCCUUUGUAAAACAAGGUAUAGGAAUGACACCAACAUUAGUUAGAAAAGAGUAUGACAUUUUAUUUUCACUUACGGAUGGACAGUACAUGAAUUUAGAAAUAUAAUCAUUGCAGGGUUCUGAAAUAUUGAUACCUUAAGAUCUAACACACCAACAUUAGCCCAUUCACUGCAAAACAGCCACAUCAGCAGUUCAGAUUUGGUCUUUGUUGUGGUCGCUGAAAUAAGUUCUUAAUGUGAAAUGCCCAGUAGCAUCUGAGUAAUACAUUACAGUAGACAUGAACUAAGUUUCGAUAUUUCCUCUUUGGAACGAAUUAUGCUUAUUUACAAGUUAAGAGUAGGUUGUUCUAAUUACUUACCCUAUUGUGAGUUUUAAUGACUGACUUUAAGCUACAGAGGGUUUUCCAGCUAUUAUUUCCUUUAAAGUUUCUAAAAGCAACAACUCUUAUUAAUGUUUAUAAAAGAUAAUGUUGGAAAAAAGGUAAUGUUAAAAUCAAGGCGCUCUUUAGAGAUAUUUAAGGACAGGAAAAGGUAUUACCAUUGAAAAAACUGUACAUAUUUUCAAGCACAACACAAAUAUUGUAGCAGUAUUUAAUUGAACUAUUUUAAAAUAGUGGCAAUUAUACUUCCUUACAUACUUUUCUAAUUUUUAAACCUCAUAAUUACAAUUUGAAUAUACAGUCUGACUUAUAAUUAGAACUAUGCACAGCUUCUAGAGUGUAUUUUUUCAGAUUUAUUUCUUCACAUAAAUUAAAGUUUAAGUUGGUCCUUGA